rnacentral:rRNA from 1 species
GAUGAACGCUGGCGGCGUGCCUAAUACAUGCAAGUCGAGCGAACGGACGAGAAGCUUGCUUCUCUGAUGUUAGCGGCGGACGGGUGAGUAACACGUGGAUAACCUACCUAUAAGACUGGGAUAAAUUCGGGAAACCGGAGCUAAUACCGGAUGAUAUUUUGAACCGCAUGGUUCAAAAGUGAAAGACGGUCUUGCUGUCACUUAUAGAUGGAUCCGCGCUGCAUUAGCUAGUUGGUAAGGUAACGGCUUACCAAGGCAACGAUGAAUAGCCGACCUGAGAGGGUGAUCGGCCACACGCGACGUGAGAUACCGACCAGACUCAGACUGGACAGCGCAGUAGGUAAUCGUCCGAACUGCGCGAGCGCCUAACGGAGGAACGUCGCGUGAGUCAUGAGGGUCUUCGGGUCGUAAAACAAUGUUAUUAGGGAAGAACAUAUGUGUAAGUAAGUGUGCACAUCUAGACUGUACAUAAGCAGAAAGCCACGGCUAACUACGC